rnacentral:ncRNA from 1 species
AAAAAGGUAGUGACAAAGAGGAGUACCUGUUUAUUCCGGCAUCAGAGAGGAUGUUCCAUCGGCUGAAAGAAUAUCCGGUCAGGCAGCAGGGAAGGUAGCUUUGGAACCGGAGAACCGAAGGGCAUGGCAACAACAGCCGGUAAGUUCUCACGGCUGAUCCCCGUUAAAGGAUAACGCUUUCGAUCAGAUAGAUGGAAGUUGAUGGAAGUGUUUUGAGUGAGAAACAAAGGUGGUACCGCGUAAAAUGACGCCCUUUAC